AGGGACAUGAUGUAAAGGCAGCAUGACGGAUUCCAAACCCGUUCGUUAGAGUUCGAAUCUCUAUGUCCCUGCCA
rnacentral:tRNA from 1 species